rnacentral:rRNA from 1 species
UACGUAGGGUGCAAGCGUUAAUCGGAAUUACUGGGCGUAAAGCGUGCGCAGGCGGUUAUGUAAGACAGUUGUGAAAUCCCCGGGCUCAACCUGGGAACUGCAUCUGUGACUGCAUAGCUAGAGUACGGUAGAGGGGGAUGGAAUUCCGCGUGUAGCAGUGAAAUGCGUAGAUAUGCGGAGGAACACCGAUGGCGAAGGCAAUCCCCUGGACCUGUACUGACGCUCAUGCACGAAAGCGUGGGGAGCAAA